rnacentral:rRNA from 1 species
GAUGAACGCUGGCGGCGUGCCUAAUACAUGCAAGUAGAACGCUGAAGGAAGGAGCUUGCUCUUUCCGGAUGAGUUGCGAACGGGUGAGUAACGCGCAGGUAACCUGCCUGGUAGCGGGGGAUAACUAUUGGAAACGAUAGCUAAUACCGCAUAACAGUAGAUGUUGCAUGACAUCUACUUGAGAGGGGCAAUUGCUCCACUACCAGAUGGACCUGCGUUGUAUUAGCUAGUUGGUGAGGUAACGGCUCACCAAGGCGACGAUACAUAGCCGACCUGAGAGGGUGAUCGGCCACACUGGGACUGAGACACGGCCCAGACUCCUACGGGAGGCAGCAGUAGGGAAUCUUCGGCAAUGGACGGAAGUCUGACCGAGCAACGCCGCGUGAGUGAAGAAGGUUUUCGGAUCGUAAAGCUCUGUUGUAAGAGAAGAACGAGUGUGAGAGUGGAAAGUUCACCA